rnacentral:rRNA from 1 species
UACGUAGGGGGCAAGCGUUGUCCGGAUUUAUUGGGCGUAAAGAGCGUGUAGGCGGCCUGAAAGGUCAGCUGUGAAAACUCGAGGCUCAACCUCGAGACGUCGGUUGAAACCAUCUGGCUAGAGUCCGGAAGAGGAGUGUGGAAUUCCCGGUGUAGCGGUGAAAUGCGCAGAUAUCGGGAAGAACACCCGUGGCGAAGGCGGCACUCUGGGACGGUACUGACGCGUGA